rnacentral:rRNA from 1 species
GAUGAACGCUGGCGGCGUGCCUAAUACAUACAAGUCGAGCGAACAGACGAGGAGCUUGCUCCUCUUACGUUAGCGGCGGACGGGUGAGUAACACGUGGAUAACCUACCUAUAAGACUGGGAUAACUUCGGGAAACCGGAGCUAAUACCGGAUAAUAUAUUGAACCGCAUGGUUCAAUAGUGAAAGACGGUUUUGCUGUCACUUAUAGAUGGAUCCGCGCCGCAUUAGCUAGUUGGUAAGGUAACGGCUUACCAAGGCAACGAUGCGUAGCCGACCUGAGAGGGUGAUCGGCCACACUGGAACUGAGACACGGUCCAGACUCCUACGGGAGGCAGCAGUAGGGAAUCUUCCGCAAUGGGCGAAAGCUUGACGGAGCAACGCCGCGUGAGUGAUGAAGGUCUUCGGAUCGUAAAACUCUGUUAUUAGGGAAGAACAAAUGUGUAAGUAACUAUGCACGUCUUGACGGUACCUAAUCAGAAAGCCACGGCUAACUACGUG